rnacentral:lncRNA from 1 species
ACGUUACCUUUGGGGUCCUCCUCCUCAAGAAACCAGCCUAAUCAUGAGAAAAGUGUAAAAUUCCAAUAGACGGGCAUCCUACAAACUACUUGACCAAUAUACCUCAAAAUUAUUAAGGUCAUAAAAAAAGGAAAGUCUGAGAAACUGUCACAUCCAAGAGGAGCCUAAGGGAACAUGGUGACCAAGUGUUAUGUGAUAUUCUGGAUGGGAUUCUAACACCUAAAUAGGACAUUAGACAGUUGGCAUCUGUGUGAAGAUGUGAAUGGAGGAGGCAGAGUAGGCAGUGAGUGCCGCAGCCACAGCUUGUGUUCUCUGCAGCCCUGGCACAGAAGAUAGGAACACUCAUGGGGGAUGCGGCCACUGUGAUGUCUUCCCACACAAGAAGUGCCAAGUGCUUUUCUCAUGCUUUUCUGGAUUGUCCCAUGGUGGACGAGUCAGCAGGAGUGAGAUGGAGCAGCACAGUAGAGGGGUACCUGGCAAGGCCCGGAGGGAGGACCCCCUGCCCCAAACAUUUCAAUGAUAUCAGGUGACAGCCGUGAUCCUCUUAGCACCUGCUCUGUUUUGUCCCAGGCCAGGAUAUCGUUGUACAUAUUCUCAGCUAAGUGAGCACCAAUAGAGGAGAGGGAGAGUCUCAUGGAAGUUCCUUCUAAGCCUUUGGCUCUUUUUACCUUCAACAAGGUGUGCCACCUCUUUGAUCCAGCAAGUGGGAAGAACAGUCCCGGCCUCUUUGCACACAAGACCGUGAUACCAAUGCACCAUCACAGGCCCCACAGGGGAGCUGUCCGCUUCCCCACACAGCUGCUAGGGGCUCUUUUGCAUGUUCCCAACCUUUCCUGCCUUUAUCUGAUAUUCGUUCCUUAGAUCCUGGGAUGAGGAGGUGGACCAGCAGAAGGUGGGCUUGUGAAGGCAGCCCGGGGUCCAAAUCCUCCUGGCUCUUCAGCUUAGCGGGUUAGUUAACAUUCAGAAGCCUUCAUCUCCCAUCUGCAAAAUGGGCAUGUCCAACUCAGAAGCUGCCUUGAAGAAAGGGUCUACCCAGCAUGGUGCGUGGAGCCUAAGCAGUCAGUACUUCAGGACUUCACCCGGCCCCUUUCCAAUAACUGCUGCUGUCGCCCUCACAGGAUGUCACCUUCAGCGUCUGAAAGCUGGGUUUGAUGCGUCUGGAAAGGCGUCCCUGACAGGCGUCGUUGCCAGGAGCCCCUAGUGCCACCAGCAGCCAGCAGGGGAGGGCGUCCUCUGCCCGCUCACUUCUGACCCUUCUCUCGUUGCACCCGGAACAUGGUGCAGCUGGGAGCAGCCUGGGCUGCGCGGAAGGCUCAGAUUUGGGGACGGCCCUUGCCAGUGACUGUGAGCUGGGGUGUCUUGGAAACUCCCAGUCUCAGCUUCUCCAUUUAUAAGAUGAGAAUGAUCAUACCAGACUCAGGCAAGGUUGUUUGUGCAUUAGUGAAAUCAGACGUAUUAAAUAAAGUACCACAUUGAUCGUGGAGUUGU